GAUGAACGCUGACAGAAUGCUUAACACAUGCAAGUCUACUUGAAUUUGGGUUUUUAACUUAGGUUUGGGUGGCGGACGGGUGAGUAACGCGUAAAGAACUUGCCUCACAGCUAGGGACAACAUUUAGAAAUGAAUGCUAAUACCUAAUAUUAUGAUAAUAGGGCAUCCUAUAAUUAUGAAAGCUAUAUGCGCUGUGAGAGAGCUUUGCGUCCCAUUAGCUAGUUGGAGAGGUAACGGCUCACCAAGGCGAUGAUGGGUAGCCGGCCUGAGAGGGUGAUCGGCCACAAGGGGACUGAGACACGGCCCUUACUCCUACGGGAGGCAGCAGUGGGGAAUAUUGGACAAUGGACCGAGAGUCUGAUCCAGCAAUUCUGUGUGCACGAUGAAGUUUUUCGGAAUGUAAAGUGCUUUCAGUUGGGAAGAAAGAAAUGACGGUACCAACAGAAGAAGUGACGGCUAAAUACGUGCCAGCAGCCGCGGUAAUACGUAUGUCACGAGCGUUAUCCGGAUUUAUUGGGCGUAAAGCGCGUCUAGGUGGUUAUAUAAGUCUGAUGUGAAAAUGCAGGGCUCAACUCUGUAUUGCGUUGGAAACUGUAUAACUAGAGUACUGGAGAGGUAAGCGGAACUACAAGUGUAGAGGUGAAAUUCGUAGAUAUUUGUAGGAAUGCCGAUGGGGAAGCCAGCUUACUGGACAGAUACUGACGCUGAAGCGCGAAAGCGCGGGUAGCAAACAGG
rnacentral:rRNA from 1 species